rnacentral:rRNA from 1 species
AAAGAAACUAACAAGGAUUCCCCUAGUAACGGCGAGUGAAGAGGGAAGAGCUCAAAUUUUAAAUCUGCCUUGUUUCAAGGUCGAGUUGUAAUUUGAAGAAGCGUUUUCUUGGGCUCGCGGCCGGUAGAAGUUCUUUGGAACAGGACAUCAUAGAGGGUGACAAUCCCGUCUGCGACCGGUCGUGCGUUCAUCUACGAUACGCUUUCAAAGAGUCGAGUUGUUUGGGAUUGCAGCUCCAAAUGGGUGGUAAACAUCACCUAAGGCUAAAUAUUGGCGAGAGACCGAUAGCGAACAAGUACCGUGAGGGAAAGAUGAAAAGAACUUUGAAAAGAGAGUUAAACAGUACGUGAAAUUGUUGAAAGGGAAACGAUUGAAGUCAGUCGUGCUGGCGCGAAAUCAACCCUCUCGUCGAGAGGACACAUGGCGUGGCGAGCCUCAAAACCGUCACGAAGCGUGAACUCUUGGCGAAAAGGAGCACUUUCGUGUCCGCUGGUUAACAUCAAUUUCGAACGUCAUAAAAAGGCUGGAGGGAUGUGGCUCCUUCGGGAGUGUUAUAACCUUUAGCGGAAUGUGGUGGUCGGGAUUGAGGAUUGCAACGAAUACCUUUAGGGCUGUUCCACCUGGCCUCUCUUUGGUAUCCUGGUGACGACAGCUUGCUGACGUUGUUAGGAUUCGCCAUUGAACAGGCUAGAGUGUGAGCAAAUUCGUUAAGGAUGUUGACGUA